rnacentral:rRNA from 1 species
GGAGGAAAAGAAACCAACAGGGAUUGCCCCAGUAGCGGCGAGUGAAGCGGCAAGAGCUCAGAUUUGGAAUCGCUGCGGCGAAGUUGUGAAUUGCAGGUUGGCGCCUCGGCGGCGGCGGCGGUCCAAGUCCCUUGGAACAGGGCGCCAUUGAGGGUGAGAGCCCCGUGGGACCGGCGCCUUAGCUGUGAGGCCCUUCUGACGAGUCGAGUUGUUUGGGAAUGCAGCUCCAAGCGGGUGGUAAAUUCCAUCUAAGGCUAAAUACUGGCGAGAGACCGAUAGCGAACAAGUACUGUGAAGGAAAGAUGAAAAGCACUUUGAAAAGAGAGUGAAACAGCACGUGAAAUUGUUGAAAGGGAAGGGUAUUGCGCCCGACAUGGAGCGUGCGCACCGCUGCCCCCCGUGGGCGGCGCUCUGGGCGCGCUCUGGGCCAGCAUCGGUUUCUGCCGCGGGAGAGGGGCGCGGGGCAUGUAGCUCUUUGGAGUGUUAUAGCCCCGCGCCUGCGCCGCGAGCGGGGACCGAGGUCUGCGACGCAAGUCACGGAUGCUGGCACAACGGCGCAACACCGCCCGCG